CCUACGGGAGGCAGCAGUGGGGGAUAUUGCACAAUGGGGGAUACCCUGAAGCAGCGACGCCGCGUGAGGGAAGAAGUAUCUCGGGAUGUAAAGCUCCAUCAGCAGGGAAGAAAAUGACAGUACCUGAACAAGAAGCCCCGGCCAACUACGUGCCAGCAGCCGCGGUAAUACGUAGGGGGCCAGCGUUAUCCGGAUUUACUGGGUGUAAAGGGAGCGUAGACGGUUAUGUAAGUCAGGAGUGAAAGCGCGGGGCCCAACCCCGGGAUUGCUUUGGAAACUGUGUAACUGGAGUACAGGAGGGGCAGGCGGAAUUCCUGGUGUAGCGGUGAAAUGCGUAGAUAUCAGGAGGAACACCGACGGCGAAGGCAGCCUGCUGGACUGAAACUGACGUUGAGGCUCGAAAGCGUGGGUAGCAAACAGGAUUAGAUACCCUAGUAGUC
rnacentral:rRNA from 1 species